UGAAGCAUUGUUACUUUGGGAGGAAUACAAGAAAGCACUAUCUUGUGCACUUUGUUCUCAAAGUAUGAAGGGUGAACCUCGAAAGAAAAGAAAAAGAGUGAGACGAGAGGUAAAAAUGGACAAGUGUCCGACAGUAGAAUUAGGGGUACAAGAUACCCACCUGAGAGGAAAGAAAAAGAAAAAAAGAAGAGCAUCUCAUUCUCCUCACAAAAUUUCAAAAAGCAAGGAAGGUAUGUAUCCCCUCAAAAGAGCAAAAGUAGAAUUAGACUUUCACCAUUGUUAUCACCAUCAUCACCAUAGACCAUUCAUUCGCCACACAUGCACAUCUUGAUUUGACUUAUUGAUUUGUUUCUUUGGAUCCAUGGUUUGACUAUGCAAUAAAUGUCUUGUAAGUAUGUAUAUUUUAUCUCCCACCUAUGAGCUCCAGAUAUUAAAGCCUUAUUAGAGUAGGGUGAGAGAGAAGGCAAUGUCACUAUGCCUUAUACCACCAAUACCACAUAUCUUGAGAGAAGGCAUAUACCAUCACUGCCUUGGUAAGGAUCCAGAAAUACCACAAAAGAGAGAUUUGAGAGAAUCAUACAAGGAAUCUCUGAGUUUUAUUUUAAAAUUUACAAAAACUCCAGAGCUAUAGCUGAUCAAGAAUAAGAGACAUGGCACUUGACUAGACUGUUCUAUCUUUUAACUACUCAAGACAGAAGUGACGGUUACAAGCCCCAUGGUGAAAGUUAAAGUAAGUAAGUUUUAAGUCUUGACAGUUUACUCUAACUCAGAGAUGAGAUCUUAUUUAAAAAGCAUGUGUACCGUCCAUUUUUAAAGAUAUUGCAACAACUUCUGAUCCAUUAGUGAGUCUAUCCUUGCUUAGGGACGAGCAAGAGGAAAGCUUGGGGGAGUUUGUUGAUGGUCCUUAAGUAUCAAAUUUAAUUAACAAAUAAACAAAGAAAAGGAUCCAAAUGAAAUCAACAUCUAGACUUAAGGUUUUAUCUGACAGAAUUCCACGAGUUUUGGUGUUUGUCUAUUUUUGCAGGGGGUUAUCAGGGAAUAUGGAAGAAAGGCCCACAUGUCGGGAUUACAUAGAGAUAUCAAUGUGCCGCGCAAUUAUCUAACAUCUAGAAGACUCCAGAAGCCACGGGAAGGAAGCGGAGGCCGAACGGGGCCAGGCACUGGGCGCCCGCCCCCUGUUGGAGUCCAAACAGGAAUCUCUCUCGGGAAAGAUCUCCACCGACCUAAAGGAUCAAGGAUAACCGUUCAAUCAAUGUCGGUUUGAUCCAACGGCCCAUAUUCACUUGAAGGGACUAUAAAACCAGACCCCUUGGCCCCUGGAGGAGAGAGCCUCUCAACCCUAAUUCAUUAUUCUCAAGGGAGAAGAAGCCCCUGAUCAAUAUUAGAGCCACCACAUCAAUUAGACAUCUAGAUUAGCAUAGCUACACAGAAUUAGAACUAGAAGGAGUCAAUCUUCGAUUGGUUUCCGGAUCUGUCAAGAGGAUUCUUGGUAAUUCUCUAAUUGUGCUUCUAAUUGUUCUUCUAAUUAUCUUUGUUCUUCAAUAUUAUGAAUAUGACUUUGUUCUACUUCAAUAUAUUGCUUAUGACUUUGCUCAACUUGCUUAUAUUCAAGAUUAUAUUUUUCUUAGUUUAUCAUAGUUAUAUACUUGGCUUAGUUAGAUUGGAUCUAUAUACAUGUUUAGGAUCGUAUAGCGUUUAUCCAUCGGAUCCAUGGGUAAAUGAUAGAUAUUGUGUAGGCGUGGUGCCUAUAUCGUAUUUAUCUGCGAUUGUACCCAAUAUGCCACAUCGCGGGGUAGUUCGUGAUAGUGACAGCUUCAUUGAUUCUUAUAUGGUCCCCCUCUCGUGUAUUGGGCUAGCAGAGCAACAUUAUUACAGGGGAGUGAUUGCUAUGUUUCUCAUUACCUUGCUAAUAUCACUAUGCAUGGGCGUAGUCUUGUCUUGCAAUGAUUGCUAAGUAUCCUUGCACUAACUAUGAUAAUGCUAGACUAUAUAGUUGAGAAUAACUUAGGAAAUAUUCUUGUAGUUUGUUCUAAUACCAUGCUAAUAACUUUCUAGAAUAUCUAAUUGAGGUGCUUAUCAUAUUUAUUAUGUGGUUAGUCAUGCUGAUCAGAUUAAUUAUCUUUGUCACUAUUCAUUACUUCAUAUAUCUUUUAUGUGACACUAUUCUCAAUUAUACAUGCAAUGAUAGAUACUCAAUCUCAUAUUCUAUUCUGUAAUCAAUAUUGAUUACUAAUCCCUUCCCGGUGGUAAAAAUAUAAAUAACGAUACCUGGAAUACUUCCCGGUUAAAAUGCUACAUCGGUAUUAAUCUGUGCGCUUGCAGAUCUCAUUCGUUAUUUAUUUAGAAGAGCAAUUGCAUAUUUCAAUACCGCGUCUCUCAUGUCAUGCUAGGGAUGACAACUUGGCUUAAGUGGUAUGAGGGAUAGGUUUAGCAUUUUUGGCACCGUUACUAGAAUUAGAAAACUAAGUCUACUUUUGGUAAUGUUGUUAAGAAUACCCAACACAUAUCACAAGCCACAGGUCUUGUGGACAAGAUGGCGUCCAAUCAAGGCUGGAAUGAAGAGAGGACCCAGACACGCAAGAGAGGUGGAGGUAUGCAUCAGCUCAAGGAGGUAGACAUGUUGUCUGCAAAGCUAGACCUGCUCAUGAAGAAGCUCGAUGAUAGAGCUGGAGAUAAGAAAGAAGUUAUGCACAUCUACGACUCUCACAUGACUUGUGAGGAGUGUGGAGAUACUGGACACUCAGGCAAUUACUGCCCUGAGAUGCUUGAGGAUGUGAACUACAUCAACAAUAACAACAACAACUACUACAACCGUCCUCAACAAAAUCAAGGUUGGAUUCAACAGAGGCCUAACUACUCAGGUAAUUAUCAAGGUAACAAUUCUUACAACAAUAAUAAUAAUUUUCCACCUCUGAGAGAGUUAGUGUCUAAUCAAGGAAAGCUAAUGGAUAACUUAUCUAAGAAAUUGGCAUCUAAUGAUAAAAUGCUAGAAAAUAUAAAUAAUAGAAUGGAUAAUUUCUCUACUACCAUCAAGAAUCAAAUUAGCUUUAAUAAAAUGAUUGAAUCUCAGUUAAAUCAAAUAGUUGCUGUUGUUCCUGCUACUAACCCCGGUAUACCAUCACAACCGUAAGGAUUAGAAUCUGCAAAUCUUGUAGACAUGUUUGAUGCAGGUAAUUGGACUAACCCCAUCACUGAAGUUACUACUGACCUUCUGCCGGUCAAGAGAGGUGAUCCAGGACGCCCCGUCAUCCCGAUCGCCAUUGGCAUGGUGGACGUCCCAGAAGCACUCUGCGACUUUGGCUCUAGUGUCAACAUUAUACCCAGGGUACUCUAUGAAAAAUUCUUUACAUAUCCUUUAUUAGAAACAACCAUGUGUUUGCAGUUUGCAGAUCAGGCAUUAAGUUUUCCAAAAGGAAUAUUAAAGAAUCUUUGUGUCCGAGUUGGUACCUUAUAUGCCCUAGCAGACUUCAUGGUGAUAGAGACCGGUAAUGAUGAGAGAGCACCCAUUAUCUUAGGGGGGGCAUUCUUGAACACCGCGGGAGCAGUCAUCUACGCUAGUGCUGCCAAGAUCAGUUUCUACAUCAAAGGGAGGAAGGAGACAUUUUUCUUCAAGAACAAGACUACACAAAUUCCAGAUCAAUCUAGACGUGAAUCAAGGAAGAGGACCAACAGGAAGAACAGGAACAAGCAAGUGUGGACCGAGUCAGCUAAGAUGGUCACUGCAGUUCAUGGAGGUCAAGAUCAUCAACUUAAGUCACCGUGUCUGACCAAGAAGGAUGACCGAGGAAUGCCAAGCAUCUAUUGCUCCAUAAAUGGAUAUAACUUCUACAAGACGACUUGCGACACCGGAUCACGCGUCAACAUAAUGGCCGCAGUCGCCUAUCGGCUCUUGUUCGGAACCAUGCCCCUAAAACCAACAUAUAUUCAGCUCCAGAUGGCAGAUCAAACAUUUCGAGAAGUUAAAGGAACAGUAACUGAUGUCCCAGUCAAAAUAGACGAUCAUUUUGUCUACACAGACUUUCAGGUUAUUGACAUGGGAGAAGACGAGUACGAUCCACCCAUCAUCCUUGGAAGACCGUUCCUCAGCACCGUUAAAGCAAUCAUCUACAUUGGAACUAGAGAAGUCCAUAUGCACUUCCCCUCAGAGAAGGUACGUCGCUAUUUUACUGACCCUAACUAUAUCGUUGAAGACUCUAAGCAGGUCAGGAAACGACACAACCGCAACCAGAGGAGGCAAAUCAUCAAGGACGGAUGGGCAGACUAUGAAGGAGAAGUAGUAAGGUCAGAAGACAUAUAGUUUAAACAGAGCUAUCCUGAGGAGACCGUAGCACCGAGUCAGGUGUGGAGAGAAAAGAUAACUAUACAUGAAGAGGAGGCGCUGCCGGAAUUACCGACUACGUCACCCAACGAAUCCCAGGAUAAUUGAAGAAAACGGAGAGUCCCGUUCGGAGGACUUAAAAACACCAAACGUCUUGCCAAGAGGUAGACUUGGUAGUUAUCCUUUCCCUUUCAAUUAUUUAAAAUAGUUUGCUUAGUUAAUUAUGUUCAUACUAUCCUAUAAAGAAAAUAAAAAUGUUAAAACAGUAAGCCCCAUGUGAGUAUACGAGUGGCAUGAAACCCAUAAGUACAUUCACUGUGGUGGCAUAAAAAUAAAAUAAAUAUUUCUUUUCUGCUUUAUAAAAUGAAAAUAUAAAAAUAGAGAGUAACAUCUAUUAAGGAGUCUCAACAUGAUAAAGGCUAGAUAUUUAUGCUAACACUUAAUCAGUUCCACAAAGCUUUGUUGUCUAUUUGGGCUCCAUAGAAAUCAAGAAUCAAGAAGACUAGCAGACGGAGGACAUUCUAAUCGCUGUCAGAAUGCUGCUGACUUUCAAAUACACCUCUGCCACCUGCUAGCUACAUCAAAGGAAAUUACGUCAAAAUUCAUCUUGGGGGAGAGCACAAGCAUUUAUCUCGAUAAGUAUUUCUAUCUAUCUUUAUACUUAUAUUAUAUUAGAAUAUAAAUAUACAUAAACCAGGAAAAACCUAAUAAAGAUUUUGUGCCUAUAUAGAUAUAUAUAUCUUUUGCUUAGUGUGUUUAAUAAAUAAAUAAAGUGGCUAUGCUAAACUGGAUUCUAAUAAAUAAAACUCUAGCAUAGAUAUGAUGAAUAGUUGCUCUGCCUUAAUUGCAAAUUUGAAGUUCUCUCUCAAGUUUAGACAUAACUGUUAUAAUUUAAAGCUUGCUAUAAACCUGAACUUGUGGGAUGAAAACUUGAUCUGAAGUCUAAGUUGUUAACGAAUACGAUAUGGGAAGGUUGAGCUGCUGUUUAUGUGUUCCUAGAGAUGCUAGAAUUCUGGAGAAUUUUAUCUUUAAAAAAAUCUUUAAAAUAUUAAAUGAUGAGUUCCUGUAUGAUGAUAGUUUAAAUUCCUACCACAGCCAUAUAUACAUGUUUGCUAGACUUUGAGCCACACAUUUACUUUUUACUGCUUAUGAGCAUUGAGUGUGGUCAAGCUGUGUAGACACCUAGGAGCUUGUCAUGUGGUUAAAUCAAGAUUCACUUGCACGUUCACUCAUACAUGCUACUUCUACUCCGGAAGUACCAUCCACAUAUAUCCACCCAUUUCCAUCUCCAGAACCACCCAAAAAUAUUCUACUCCUAAUCCGGGAGAGAAUAGCCAAAAACAUUUCUGUUUUUCCCCUGUGAAAUAAAUGCUCAAGUUAUCUUGUUACUACCACUUGCUAUAUUAUCUCAAGAGAUGAGUGCUCUAAUAAAAAAAAAGAAGAGAGAAAAAAAGAUACGAGGAAAUAAAAAGGGGCAAGUUCCCGGAACCUCGAAAGAAAAGAAAAAAAGUGAGACGAGAGGUAAAAAUGGACAAGUGUCCGAUAGUAGAAUUAGGGGUACAAAAUACCCACCUGAGAGGAAAGAAAAAGAAAAUAUAGAGCAUCUCAUUCUCCUCACAAAAUUUCAAAAAGCAAGGAAGGUAUGUAUCCCCUCAAAGAGCAAAAGUAGAAUUAGGCUUUCACCAUUGUUAUCAUUAUCAUCACCAUACACCAUUCAUUCGCCACACAUGCACAUCUUGAUUUGAUUUAUUGAUUUGUUUCUUUAGAUCCAUGGUUUGACUAUGCAAUAAAUGUCUUGUAAGUAUGUAUAUUUUAUCUCCCACCUAUGAGCUCCAGAUAUUAAAGCCUUAUUAGAGUAGGGUGAGAGAGAAGACAAUGUCACUAUGCCUUAUACCAUAAAUACCACAUAUCUUGAGAGAAGGCAUAUACCAUCACUGUCUUGGUAAGGAUCCAGAAAUACCACAAAAGAGAGAUUUGAGAGAGUCAUACAAGGAAUCUCUGAAUUUUAUUUGAAAAUCUGCAAAAACUCUAGAGCUAUAGCUGAUCAAGAAUAAGAGACAUGGCACUUGACUAGACUGUUCUAUCUUUUAACUACUCAAGACAGAAGUGACGGUUACAAGUCCUAUGGUGAAAGGUAAAGUAAGUAAGUUUUAAGUCUUGACAGUUUACUAUAACUCAGAGAUGAGAUUUUAUUUAAAGAGCAUGUGUACCGUCAAUUUUUAAGAGUAUUGCAGCAACUUCUAAUCUAUCUUUGCUUAGGGACGAGCAAGAGGUAAGCUUGGGGGAGUUUGUUGACGGUCCUUAAGUAUCAAAUUUAAUUAACAAAUAAACAAAGAAAAGGAUCCAAAUGAAAUCAACAUCUAGACUUAGGGUUUUAUCUGACAGAAUUCCACGAGUUUUGGUGUUUGUCUAUUUUUGCAGGGGGUUAUCAGCAAAUACAGAAGAAAGGCCCACACGUCGGGAUUACAUAGAGAUAUCAACGUGCCACGCAAUUAUCUUACAUCUAGAAGACUCCAGAAGCCACGGGAAGGAAGCGGAGGCCGAACGGGGCCAGGCACUGGGCGCCCGCCCAGAUGCCCUGGGCGCCCGCCCCCUGUUGGAGUCCAAACAGGACUCUCUUUCGGGAUCAAUCUCCACCGACCUAAAGGAUCAAGGAUAAGCGUUCAAUUAAUGUCGGUUUGAUCCAACGGCCCAUAUUCACUUGAAGGGACUAUAAAACCAGACCCCCUGGCCCCUGGAGGAGAGAGCCUCUCAACCCUAAUUCAUUAUUCUCAAGGGAGAAGAAGCCCCU
rnacentral:lncRNA from 1 species